UGGGAGUUGGCACCCAGAUCACUCCAAUGGGCAGAAGUGGUCUGGGUGCCUGGAGUGUCCCUUUUAAACAUCAUGUUUUGAAUGUGCAAUGAAUGUAAUUUUGUGGCCAUAGACCAAGGAAUAUUGCCACAUGUCUAGUCACUCUACAUUAGUUUAGUGUGCAUCUUCUUUAAGACAACCAGUUUUAGCACCCAAAACAGUCUCCAUCAGCUCUGUAGUCCCCACUUCCAGCAUUACAGCUUGGCUGGGGCUGGGGUCUCGCUGUCCUCCAGCCACCCUGGUCCCAAGACCAGGAUCCAUCUUCCAGUUGGUAGACCUCUCCUCCAAGAGAGUGUAGCAAUAUGCUCUUAAAAGAGCAAGUGAUUGUAAUCCCAGGGGAGUAUAGUGAUAUAGCAAUCCCCAGCGUGAUGCAGCCAUUCUCCCUCACACACGAGAUGAGACUCUAUGUUGAAGGUAAGCAGGAAUUUGUUUAUUGGUAGCCACAACUGGCGUUAUAUGCAGGUCCCCAUGCAAAGGGCACUCACCCCUGGGCCUGAGCGUAGACUACAGUAAAAACAUACUCACGAUUACAUUGGUUCUCAGGUCCAGGACACUCCCAUACAAAACAGGGUAAUCCCUCCCCUGUGCCUGGGAGAUAAUUACUUGAAUACACAAACAUAUAAUUAAAUUAUCUCUCAGUACAAGAAACAAUACAACAACACCCCAAACGUACCCCUUAAACACAUGGAAACCCCUCAAAAGUCAUAGCCCAAUCUGGGAGACCAACAUAUCCAAAAAUCAUGUGGAAGUCAUAAUUUUGACCGGCCGUGCACAUGGUCCUAUGCCCAAAACAGUUCAAUGCGAUCAGGGCUAAAGGUCGGUCUCUCUCUGUACAUAAAUCACACAAAUAGAGUCUUUAAAAGUAUUUUAGCCAAGGUCUGUUGCAGGGGCCAUAGUCCUGAGGCAGGAGGCUGGCAAGCAAGCCCCUCCAAGAACACGUCAGUCAUACUGCCACGCAUCCCCCCACCCAAGGGAAGACUAACCAGGUACCUGACCUGACCAGGUUGCUGUGCGGGGCUUUCUCCUUUGCUCCUAGCCUUGGCGCACUCUGAGCUUAGUGGGCAGAGGUCAGAGGCGCUCUGUCCUGUAGCCAGCCUGUGUGUGAUCAAGCCCUUGACAAGGAAGAAGGGGAGGGCAGAGGCCAACUGCACUCUGCCCGGAUGCCAGCGUUUCUGCUGGGGGGACCUGGGGACAGUCCGGCGCUGCAACAAUGGGACUGGUAGGGCAGAGGCCAGCUGCUCUCUGCCCUGGUGACAGCUCUUCUGCCUGGAGGGGGUUAGUGGAGACUGCCGCCCCCUCCACUACCCCCAGGACCCGGUUGGGAAUCUGCUGCUGAGAGGAGGAAUCACCUACCCUCCUCCCUCUGGUAUUCCUGCGGGGGUGGUUGGGGAUCUCGACCGGCCAUUCAGCAUCCCUGUAGGUCUGGUGCAGAGACCUCUGUACCAUCUGCACCAUCCAUUUCCGGUGUCCUGUCUUGGGCCAACAGGCACCGCUGCUGGGGAGUGGAACCAGUUGUCUCCACUCCCAGUAUCUCCGGCUGUCGCUGGGGAGGGGGACUGAUUAUCCCUUCUCCCUGUACGGUAUGCUGCCACUGAAGGGUAGGACCGACUGUUCUCCUUCCUGAUACUUCCAGCUGGGGGUGGGCAGGGGGACCAGUUGUUCUCCCCUCCAGUAAUGUCAGCUGCAGUUGAAAAUCUGGGCCAGCUGCCCAGCAUCCCUGUAGUCCCAUCUCCACCUGCCAGUUGGGUUCCCCCCAGGACCAGACUAUAAGGUCCCACUGUAAUAGGGACCAGCUGUCUCCUCUUCCGGUAUCUCUGGCUGCCGCGGGGGAGAUGGACCAGUUGUCUCCUCUCCCUGAAAGGUAAGCUGCCGCUAGGGAGUAGGACAACUGUCCCUACUCCCGGUAGCUCCGGCUGUGGUUGGGGACCUGGGCCGGCUGCCCAACGUCCCUGUAGGGACGGUGGAGAGACCUCUGUCCCAUCUCCACCUGCCGACUGGGGGUCUUCGCCGGACCAAUUUAUGAGGUCCUCUACUUCUGGAGCUGGUAUUGAAGCAGGGGGUACUUCCCCAGCUGUAGGGUGGUAGGUCUGGGUCUGCCACUAUGCUUUCCCUGCAGGGUAUGUUGGGGCCGAAUUGAGCUGAGCAGGUGUUGGUAAUCCUGCUCCAGCUCCCACUCCAUUGUCACCAGAGAUGUCAGGUCUUGUCUCACCUAGUCAGCGGUAGCCCAAUCAUGCAUGCCCUCAGAUGUCCCAGAAUCUGGACUCUCCAGUACUUCCGAACACCUGUUCUGCGAAGGCUUCCCACAACAGGCCAGGGCCAUUGUAAUCCUCACCCUCGGGCCUGUCUUGCUCAGCCAUCCAGGGGGCAUGCUGAACCGUGUACCACCAUUGCGCCUGGUAUGCGUCGUCCAACCAAAGCUCCUUUCAUACCAGGCUCUCAAUCUCUGUCACCAACUCCUCCAGAGACUGCUCUCACAGGAGGGGCAUCCGCAGCGCCACUCGCAUCUGUAGCUCUUGCUCCUCCCUGGGGAGACUUUCACCCCGCCGACACUGUAACCCCUCCAGGACCUCAUAUCAGACAUCCUUCCAGGCUGCAUCCCUCCAGUCCGGGUCAUCCUCCUGAACACUGUCCAGGAACCAGCUGGUUCCAUACUGCUGUAGCCAGGGGUGGUGUGCGGGUACUAGCGCUGCCCUCAAUUAUAAUCCACACAAUACCGGUGUCUCCAGGAUGCUUCUCCUCGCUCUAAGAAGCCAUUCCACUGCUGCCACCAGAUGUGGCGGACUGCCUGGCACCCCGACUGGGUGCCUCCGGCAAUCGAUGGUUCCUAGUGCUCACCGAGUACUUCCAAGCACUCCACCAGACACCAUCAGCUCUGUAGUCCCCACUCCCAGUGUUACAGCUUGGCUGGGGUCUCACUGUCCCUCACCCACCCUGGACCCAAGACCAGGAGCCAGCUUCUAGUAGGUAGAGCUCCCCUCUAAGAGAGUGUAGCAAUAUGCUCUUAAAAGAGCAAGUGAUUACAAUCCCAGCAAGGUAUAGUGAUAUAGCAAUCCCCAGCGUGAUACAACUGUUCUCCCUCACACAUUAGAUGAGACUCUAUGUUGAGGGUAAGCAGGAAUUUGUUUAUUGGCAGCCACAACUGGCCUUAUAUGCAGGUCCCCAUGCAAGGUUCACUCCCCCCCUGGAACUGAGAGUAAACUAUAGUAAAAACAUACACACGAUUACAUUUGCUCUCAGGUACAGAACACUCCCAUACAAAACGGGGUAAUCCCUCCCCUGUGCCUGGGAGAUAAUUACUUGAAUACACAAACAUAUAAUUAAAUUAUCUCUCAGUACAAGAAACAAUACAACAACACCCCAAACGUACCCCUUAAACACAUGGAAACCCCUCAAAAGUCAUAGCCCAAUCUGGGAGACCAACAUAUCCAAAAAUCAUGUGGAAGUCAUAAUUUUGACCGGCCGUGCACAUGGUCCUAUGCCCAAAACAGUUCCAUGCGAUCAGGGCUAAAGGUCGGUCUCUCUCUGUGCCUGAGAGAUAAUUACUUGAAUACACAAACAUAGAAUUAAAUUCUCUCUCAGUAUAAGAAAUAUGCAAUACAACACCCCAAAAGUACCCCUAAAACCCAUAAAACCCCCACAAAAGUCACAUCCCCCGAUAGCCCUGAUCUGGGUGACCAACAUAUACAAAAAUCACCCAGAUUGUUUCAGGGGUUUGGGAAUUCCAUGGAAGUCAUAAUUUUGACCGACCGUGCACAUGGUCCUAUUCCCAAAAUUGUUCCAUGGGAUCAGGGCUAAUGGUCGGUCUCCAUGAAUGGAGCCUUUUUAAAGUAUUUUAGCCAAGGUCUAUUGCAGGGGCUAUAGUCCUGAGGCAGGAGGCUGGCAAGCAGGCCCCUCCAAGAACACGUGGCAGAGGCAUUACUGCCACACUUAUCCACACUUAUAAACCACUGACCAAUUCUAGCACCUCCUAUAUCACUUUACUGAUCAGCAGGAAUGCCCCUUCGCGGACACUCAGCUCUGCCCUUCUCCUGUCCGCUCCUUGCACCCGUACGGCUAACUCACGGUUGCAGGACUUCUCGCGGGUGGCUCCUUUCCUUUGGAAUAGCCUGCCUACGACCAUCAAACUCUGCCCUAGUCUUCAAUCAUUUAAAAAGUGCCUCUAAACCCAUCUCUUUAGGAAAGCUUAUGGCCUCCCCGAGUAACCUCUACCUUACAUACCUGUCCCUUGCUCUCUCCUAAAGGGCAGCACUCUAUUCUCUCCUCCAGCUCUGCUUCAAUCCACCUUGUUUGAUUGCUACCUCCUGUACUGUUGUGUUUUGCGCCCCACCACCUAUAGACUGUAAGCUUGUUUGAGCAGGGCCCUCUUUAACCUAUUGUUCCUGUAAGGUUUUGUAAUUGUCUCAUUUAUUGUUAAAUCUCCCCCUUUGAUAAUAUUGUAAAGUGCUACAGAAUAUGCUGGCGCUAUAUAAAUACCAGUAAUAACAAUAAGAAUAACAUAAAUGCUUAUGCGCUUUUUUCUUAAUUUCAAUUCAAGUUGCUGCCAUUGGGGCGCCUCUCCUUCGUGGUACGAAAGGAACAGUGCUUGUUGGAUCCCAUGUGUGAGAAGGGGUGGGCUCUUCAGGGGACCUAGGUUCCAUUGGGAGCCCCAGAGCUUGAAGGA